GGUUUCCCCUCUGGGUUUCAAGUUCUACUCAAGACAAAAGCAGGAAUGGCUCAAAAGUGUCAAGUUUGGUGUGGCGGUGGACCCCAAAAUGCAGACGACAGCAAGCAGCAGUGUGGCCUUUAUUUUGUCAGAUGACCAACAGGACAUGGAUUGGAGAGAGAGAGGGGAAGACAUGCAGCAAAGGUCAACGUGCCAGGACUCGAACCCGUGAACGCUGCGUUGAGGACUGUAGCCUCUGAAUAUUGAUUAUGCAGUUUUACCCCUGCACCACUGCCAUGCCCUAUACAGUUACAUUUUAUUAAGACAUGAAGUCUUAUUUUCAAAAGCAACCGUAAGGGCUGAAAUUUUGAAAACAUACUUUUAAUCUGACUUAUUGAAACGCAUAUUUUAGUUCACUGACUAUAACUGUAAGUGGUAAUACAUUUAGUAUUGUUAGUGUCUGGAAAAUGAACCCCAGCCCGUUUCAAGUCUUCUGCAGCCACUAGCACAUUUUCUUAAGGAUUGACCUGUAGCUCCAUCCAUCCUCCUACCAUCUCUGAUCUGGCCCCCUCCCUUCCCCUGCUGAAACAAAGUAUCCUCACAGCAUAAUGCCACCACCACCAUGUUUUACUAUGAGGAUGUUGUGUUCAGUUUCAUGCACAGUGCUAAGUUCCCAGGACACAUAGUAUCUCACAUGUAGGCUAAAAAGUGGUCAAAGGUCCUACGUUAAACUUCUCAACCUUCUCCCAGACCUGUCUGCUGUGUUCCUUGGCCAUCAUGUUGUUGUUUGGUUCUCUAAUGUUCCUUAAAAACCCUCUGGGAUUUUCACGGAGCAACUGGGAUUAUACUAGGAUUAAACAACAUACAAAGGCACGCUAUUUCCUAAUUAGGUGGUUCUGAAGACACUGCUUGCAGGAAUACCAGGUACAGACUUUGCCUCCAGUUUGAAAUCAGGCCUGUUGCUCAUUCUGUUAAUUCAUCUGGCUAAUCCACAGUAUAUUAAUGUUUUCUCUGGAAAAAAUUAUAAUGAAAUUACACUGAUUAACACAUACUGAUGCGAAAUGACAGAAAUACUGUGUAAACACGCUUAUUCAAAAUUAUUCCUGUUUAUGAUUAAAGUCAGUGUGUUUUAAACUGAAUA